rnacentral:lncRNA from 1 species
UAAAAAACAGCAUGACAUUUGUGUAUAAACGACAUAUAGUUCGUAUAAAAACGACACGAAGUUUAUCUAUUCGAAAUGGAUCAGAACGAGUCAAUAAGAGAGAAACUUGCGGAGAAAGCUGCUCAACGUUCCAUUCCGAGAUCUUUGAGAGAUUUUCGGAAAACGGUCACAACAGUUUCGAAAAACCACUCCUCGUUUCCUUUUUAAAUACAGACUC